AUUGAACGCUGGCGGCAGGCUUAACACAUGCAAGUCGAGCGAGCGGCGGACGGGUGAGUAAUGUCUGGGAAACUGCCUGAUGGAGGGGGAUAACUACUGGAAACGGUAGCUAAUACCGCAUAACAUCAGAUGUGCCCAGAUGGGCUGAGCUAGUAGGUGGGGUAAUGGCUCACCUAGGCGACGAGCCAUAGCUGGUCUGAGAGGAUGACCGGCCAUACGUGAACUGCGACGCGGUCCCGACUCCUACGGUAGGCAGCGGCGGGGAAUAUUGCGCAAUGGGCGCAAGCCUGAUGCAGCCAUGCCGCGUGUGUGCAGAAGGCCUUCGGGUUGUAAAGCACUUUCAGCGAGGAGGCGUUACUCGCAGAAGAAGCACCGGCUAACUCCGUGCCAGCAGCCGCGGUAAUUC
rnacentral:rRNA from 1 species